GGGGGCGCUCCGGACCCCAGGCUUCCACAGCCGGGCGGGGAGGAACGCCAGGGCUGAUGAGGACCGAUGGGGCAAUGCUUACCCCAGAGGGUCCGCUGCACUAAGGAGGGGAAUCUCAGGCAUCACCGAGCCGUUUCGGGCAUGAGGCCCCGCCCCAUCCGCCUGCACAAGGCUCCUGCACCCCACUCCCGAGAGCACCUGACUGCCUGACUGGCAGAGGUGGAUGGGAAGAAUGCCGGGCGCGGUGGCUCAUGCCUGUAAUCCCAACACUUUGGGAGGCCGAAAGGGGCGGAUCACCUCAGGUCAUGAGUUCGAGACCAGCCUGGCCAACAUGGUGAAACCCUGUCUCUACUAAAAAUACAAAAAUUAGCCAGGUCCACUGGCGGGCGCCUGUACUCCCAGCUACUCGGGAGGCUGAAGGAGGAGAAUCGCUAGGCUCUGGGAGCCGGCGGUUGCAGUGAGCUGAGAUCAGGCCACUGCACUCCAGCCUGGGCGACAAAGCUAGACUCCAUCUCAAAAAGAAAAAAA
rnacentral:lncRNA from 1 species